GGGUUCUACCAUUGGUCAGGCUAUUGUCUGUACUGGCGUGUAGAAUUUCUACCUUCUGGGGAACUGUCAUGUUAUUAAUUUAAUGUGGUAGGAAACCAGGACCUUUACCUUGAAAAAAUUAGAGUGUUCAAAGCAGGCUUAUGUCUGAAUACAUUAGCAUGGAGUAAUAAAAUAGGAUGAUGGUCCUGUUUUGUUGGCUUCUGAAUCACCGUA
rnacentral:rRNA from 1 species